rnacentral:rRNA from 1 species
AGCGAACGCUGGCGGCAGGCUUAACACAUGCAAGUCGAGCGGGCGUAGCAAUACGUCAGCGGCAGACGGGUGAGUAACGCGUGGGAACGUACCUUUUGGUUCGGAACAACACAGGGAAACUUGUGCUAAUACCGGAUAAGCCCUUACGGGGAAAGAUUUAUCGCCGAAAGAUCGGCCCGCGUCUGAUUAGCUAGUUGGUGUGGUAACGGCGCACCAAGGCGACGAUCAGUAGCGGUCUGAGAGGAUGAUCAGCCACAUUGGGACUGAGACACGGCCCAAACUCCUACGGGAGGCAGCAGUGGGGAAUAUUGGACAAUGGGCGCAAGCCUGAUCCAGCCAUGCCGCGUGAGUGAUGAAGGCCCUA